GAUGAACGCUGGCGGCGUGCCUAAUACAUGCAAGUCGAGCGAACAGACGAGGAGCUUGCUCCUCUGACGUUAGCGGCGGACGGGUGAGUAACACGUGGAUAACCUACCUAUAAGACUGGGAUAACUUCGGGAAACCGGAGCUAAUACCGGAUAAUAUAUUGAACCGCAUGGUUCAAUAGUGAAAGACGGUUUUGCUGUCACUUAUAGAUGGAUCCGCGCCGCAUUAGCUAGUUGGUAAGGUAACGGCUUACCAAGGCGACGAUGCGUAGCCGACCUGAGAGGGUGAUCGGCCACACUGGAACUGAGACACGGUCCAGACUCCUAAGGGAGGCAGCAGGAGGGAAUCUUCCGCAAUGGGCGAAAGCCUGACGGAGCAACGCCGCGUGAGUGAUGAAGGUCUUCGGAUCGUAAAACUCUGUUAUUAGGGAAGAACAAAUGUGUAAGUAACUAUGCACGUCUUGACGGUACCUAAUCAGAAAGCCACGGCUAACUACGUG
rnacentral:rRNA from 1 species